GCCGAGGUGCUGAAAUUGGCAGACAGGCACGCUUCAGGAGCGUGUGCUCGAAAGAGCGUGCGGGUUCAACUCCCGCCCUUGGCACAA
rnacentral:tRNA from 3 species